CCUACGGGAGGCAGCAGUGGGGAAUAUUGCACAAUGGGGGAAACCCUGAUGCAGCAACGCCGCGUGAGUGAAGAAGUAUUUCGGUAUGUAAAGCUCUAUCAGCAGGGAAGAAGAAAGACGGUACCUGACUAAGAAGACCCGGCGAACUACGUGCCAGCAGCCGCGGUAAUACGCAGGGGGCCAGCGUUAUCAGGAUUUACUGGGUGUAAAGGGAGCGUAGGCGGAUGUGCAAGUCUGAAGUGAAAGCCCGUGGCUCAACCGCGGAACUGCUUUGGAAACUGUAUAGCUUGAGUACUGGAGAGGAAGGAGGAAUUCCAGGUGUAGCGGGGAAAUGCGGAGAUAUUAGGAGGAACAUCAGUGGCGAAGGCGGCCUGCUGGACAGAAACUGACGUUGAGGCGCGAAAGCGUGGGGAGCAAACAGGAUUAGAUACCCCUGUAGUC
rnacentral:rRNA from 1 species